GCGCCCGUAGCUCAACUGAUGAGAACACCGGAUUAUUGUUCUGGAGUUCGCGGGUUCAAGUCCCACCGCCGGCGCC
rnacentral:tRNA from 1 species